rnacentral:rRNA from 1 species
ACGGAGGGUGCAAGCGUUAUCCGGAUUUAUUGGGUUUAAAGGGUCCGUAGGCGGAUCCGUAAGUCAGUGGUGAAAUCUCAUAGCUUAACUAUGAAACUGCCAUUGAUACUGCGGGUCUUGAGUGAGAUUGAGGUAGCUGGAAUAAGUAGUGUAGCGGUGAAAUGCAUAGAUAUUACUUAGAACACCAAUUGCGAAGGCAGGUUACCAAGUCUUAACUGACGCUGAUGGACGAAAGCGUGGGGAGCGAACAGG